rnacentral:rRNA from 1 species
GUUUUCGGAUGGAAUCCGGGAUGACUGAGUGGCGGACGGGUGAGUAACGCGUGGGUAACCUGCCCUGUACAGGGGGACAACAGUUAGAAAUGACUGCUAAUACCGCAUAAGCGCACAGGACCGCAUGGUCCGGUGUGAAAAACUCCGGUGGUACAGGAUGGACCCGCGUCUGAUUAGGUAGUUGGCGGGGUAACGGCCCACCAAGCCGACGAUCAGUAGCCGACCUGAGAGGGUGACCGGCCACAUUGGGACUGAGACACGGCCCAAACUCCUACGGGAGGCAGCAGUGGGGAAUAUUGCACAAUGGGGGGAACCCUGAUGCAGCGACGCCGCGUGAGUGAAGAAGUAUUUCGGUAUGUAAAGCUCUAUCAGCAGGGAAGAAAAUGACGGUACCUGACUAAGAAGCCCCGGCUAACUACGUGCCAGCAGCCGCGGUAAUACGUAGGGGGCAAGCGUUAUCCGGAUUUACUGGGUGUAAAGGGAGCGUAGACGGCAGAGCAAGUCUGAAGUGAAAGCCCGCGGCCCAACUGCGGGACUGCUUUGGAAACUGCCCGGCUAGAGUGCUGGAGAGGUAAGCGGAAUUCCUAGUGUAGCGGUGAAAUGCGUAGAUAUUAGGAGGAACACCAGUGGCGAAGGCGGCUUACUGGACAGUAACUGACGUUGAGGCUCGAAAGCGUGGGGAGCAAACAGGAUUAGAUACCCUGGU